AAAGAUGAUAUAUAUGACUGGAAUGCAUAUCCUGAAGAUGAUGAUUCCAGGGGGAGAAUGUGAUUAUGUGCGUGGUUGUACUCUUUUUCUCUUAUCAUGGUUUUUAUCCCAUUGGGGUUUUCCAUGAAAGGUUUUUAACGAGACAACAAAGAACACGCGAAUGAUAGACACCUAAAGAGAAAUGUUGUGAUUCCAAUGAUGAAAGACUAUUGUUAUUCAAGGUCUUUAACAUACAUUGAUGAGAUCGUGAGAAACAAAGAUAAUGAUCAAG
rnacentral:lncRNA from 1 species